UGUGCAGGCGGGCGACCAAGUGGUGUAUGAAAUCUCCGGGCCUAAGUCGGAGCGGUUAUGCCAGACCGGUCGUCUUGAGAGUGAGAGAGGGACAUGGAAUUCCGGGUGUAGUGGUGAAAUGCGUAGAGAUCCGGAGGAACCCCAGAGGCGAAGGCGGUGUCCUGGCUCACUUCUGACGCUCAGCCACGGACAGCAUGGGGAGCGAACGGGAUUAGAAACCCCCGGUAGUCCAUGCCGUAAACGAUGCCAACUAGGCGCUGGGGGUCUCAACCCCCUCGGUGCCGUAGCUAACGCGCUAAGUUGGCCGCCUGGGGAGUACGACCGCAAGGUUAAA
rnacentral:rRNA from 1 species